GUUUUAUUGAUUUCAAUUAUAAGUCAAAUCUGCUCAAUGAAAUAAUUUUUAAAUAGCUGCAGUAUAAAUAACUGUACAAAGGUAGCAUAAUAAUUAGUUUUUUAAUUGAAAACUAGAAUGAAUGAUUUAAUGAAAUAUAAACUGUUUCAAAUUUAAAAAAUUAAUUUAUUUUUUAAAUAAAAAAAUUUAAAUUUUUAAUAAAGACGAGAAGACCCUAAAGAAUUUAUAUAAAAUUAUACUAUUAUAAUUAUUAUAAUUAUAUUUUAAUUGGGGAAAUUUUAAAAUUUUACUAAUUUUUAAUUAAAAUAAACAAUUAUUUUUGAAUAAAUAUUUUUUUUUAAAAAAUAAAUUAAAUUACCUUAGGGAUAACAGCAUAAUUUUUUUUUUAAGUUCUAAUUUAUAAAAAAGUUUAU
rnacentral:rRNA from 2 species